GAAUAAUGCAGUCGGUGUCCGUUCUUCGAGGGAACGUUCUCGUUUCAGAGCGGUUAACGAUAUAUCGGUGCUUUCGGCUCGCGUAAUCGUUAUUGGAUCAUAAACGUGCACCGGCGAAAGGAAUAUGCAUGGCGUUCCUGGACUGUUCGGUUAAACUUUACCAGUGUACUCUACUAAUCACUUUGAUGAAAGGUUGUCGUGCAAAUGUAAGUCUGCGAAUAUGUCGCUCUAGCUGACGGACAUUGAAAAUUGCACGUUGGUGGACACGUUCCAGCAUUCGAAGGAACUGUUAAUCUGAAUUUUAUUUGACGUUUCUGGGAUACCGUGACUGGACGUGAACAAUAAUGCUUAGACAGGGAAGAAACGAGGGUAAUAAAUUAGCAAACGAUGUAUUUAAGUGUCUCUACUUCGAAUACUUUCCGAGAUACACCUUGGCAUUUUACGAGAGUGAAUGUAGAAGGUUUCCUAAUGAUAGUAAUGUUUAGACGUGUACACUAAAAUGUAUCUUGAAAGGCAGUGAUACACUGAAAGAAAAUGUAGAAAAAUAUCGAUUCCUUGCCGGAACAACUCGUGCCACAAGUGGAUUCAUGAGCCCUUUGUUAGACCCCACACGGAAAUUACAUGCUCCAGCUGUAAUCAUUAAUGCUGGGAAUGGAGGAGGAGAGAAAAGGCAAGAGUUCGCGAGUUUCGAUUGGAAUCUCGUAUUAGCGAAUAACUUUCGGGGGCGUCGCCACAACACAGAGCGUUCCUAAACUGUUUGACGAAAGUUUCCUAGGGUUCUCUACUAAUUGAUGGGUCCGGUCCGGAAGCCACUUAUCUCCAUAUUACUAUGACAAUCGGUUAAGUGCGUAAGAAUACCUCAUUAAAUCUUGUAAUACACAAAAUCAGUCUAAAAAUAUAUAGUAUAGUUAGUAAGUUAUGCAUUGACAAUAAAAGGUCAUCCAGAAGAGGCUCCAAGAUUUGUUUUUUUUAAUAACAAAAUAUGCCUGUCAGGGUAGUCAUGGUGGACACUUUAAUGAGAUCAUCUUUCAUGUUUGAUUGUAAUCAUGAGUAGGUACUUUUAUUUUAAAUAAAGGAAUUGGAAAUAUAUUCCAUACCAUUUCUGGUUCAUUAAACAACAGAAUCGUGUCAAUAAUAAAAGAAGGCGUCAUUUUCAAAAUUUUAAAAGAGAUCAAUUUACUUCCACGAACCAAGUUGAUCGCGAUUUAGUCGUCGACUAAUUUCUUUGCAAAUUGUCGUCACCUAUUGAUGAUUGAGUCAUCCUGAUUUCUCUUCAAUCUCGUCCCCUUGUGUAUUUCCAACUAAUUAAAUAAUAAAUCCUAGUGAUCCUUAACUGGCAAAAAUCAACAAUUUUUAUCAUCAAACAUACUCCAACAACGUCACACCUAGUAACAUACAUCCUGCCCUUCCAAUAUAUAUGAAGCUAUCAAUGAUUAGGUGUCGAACCAGCGGAAAUUUCAUUUAAACGACCCCGUAGCGUUAACCAAAAUUUACGUUCGAGCUGUCCCAACCCUGCUCCCAACGGCGUGGCGCAUUAGAUCUCCUUGAAGCUUCAGCCUCGAAUAAUUUAUAGACCGCGCGCUGGAACAUAGUCCUCGGGAGCCGCCAUUGGCUCCGCGAGCGGGCCACGAAACGUAUUGUUCCAGGAUCGUGUUGUCGGCCGUGUACGUACAUUUAUUUAAAUAUAUCGGUUACGUCGCGUACGAGGACCUUACAGAAACGUGCCAACGUAGAACGUCACAGGAAGCAGGUCGUUAAUCUGCGGCUACGAUCUCAUUUCCACUAAUUGGCUGAUAGGGACGCCCGAUACGGACGAUACCGGGGUACGUACGCGGACACACGUGCAACCACAAAGACCCACGUCGGGGGAAAGGCUGCGGAAUAAAAAAAAAAAAGAAAGCAAGACCGCACUUACGUACGCGCGCGUGCUGCACGAGAUUUUCAGGGGGCUAAAGAGCUCGUUCAUUCGUUGAUUCUGUGGGUGGCAAGAGAUUCAUCGGUUUUGGGAGCAUGGUAAUCGAUUUGAGAGAUGACAGGACCUGAAAAGGUAAAAAGUGACUGAUUCAGGGGAUUUUUCUAUGAUGAAAUUGGAGUAAAGUAGGUUUAUGGUUUCUAGUGGAUGGUUGAGGGAGAUGUUGGCGUGGGAUUAGGUGUUUCGUCGGUAAUAUUGAGUAUGCUGUCACUAAAACAGAGGAUAUUGUCGAUAAAAGAGAGAAGAUUGUUGUUAAAACAGUGUACAUUACUGUUAAACCAAACCUAGCUGUUGGUAAAGUAGAUAACACUGUUGAUAAGUCAAAGCGUCCUGUUUUAACGACAGUGGAGUCUGUUUUACCCAUAAAAUAUCUUCUCGUUUACCUGUACCUGCCUCAUUUAAGUUCCAAAAACCCAGCUGUACCCUUCGAACUCUCUUUACUUCUACGAAAAGUGUCUCCUAAAUAAAUUAAAGAUACAUGUUGCGAAUACAUAUAAAAAUAUAUGAGCCUUCUAUUUAUCACAACAAUCACUCUCUUUACUCUUACUCAUUUCAACAAAUAUUUAUUACUGCGCGUGCGUAGCCAUACACGGUAAUACGUGCAAUAGUCAUAAAGACAGGGGAGAGGCUGAUUAAAAAAAAGAAAAAAAAAAAAAUGCGAGAGUGCACUCGCGUACGCGCGUGCUGCACGAGAUUUUCAGAGGGUUAAAGAGCCCUCUUCUCGAGCUCGUCUCCCGACGUGCUCGGCCCUUGAUCGUCGACUUCUUCAGCCCUCGCUAUGCCUAUCGCCCCGUUUCCUUUUUUCUCCCCUCUUGCCUUCGUACGACGACGCCUUCCGUCCGUGAAUUUCUGCGUUUUCCCCUCUCGCGAUGUUGCUCAAGCAUGGAGCAACGACAUACGAGAGAAUUACACGCGGAGGAAAUACGCGGGGGGAACGAUACGUUGAGAGGGCAAGGGAGAACGAUGGAGGGAGUGGUUAACAUGGAGUUAAUCCAAACAAUAGGUGUGUGUAAUCCAGCCCAGGAUACAUAGAUGUACAAAUACACGUUCAUCUUCGAAGGGGAGGAGUGGAACUAAAGUUUCACGUACUCGCAUUGGAAAUAUUUAAUAAUAAUUUGAAAUGUUUUAAACAAUUUGUUGUUUCAUUUUGGUAUAUUUUCUGUAAAUUCAUAACAUAACUAUGACUUUUUCUGUUAAUUUCUAAAGCUGAAAGGUUGGUGAAUUAUUUUGAAAUUGUUUUAGAUUUUUCACGAAUGCUUAUAGGCUACUCGUUAUGCAUCUGUGUUUAUUUUGAACUCUUUCGAUUUGAGAGUUAUACCAAUAUCGAUGUAAUUUUGAAAAACACAAUUAUUCUAAAUGAUCAUAAAAUGAAAUGAUAUAUUCUACGCCAUAAUAUUUCAAGUACUAUUAUUUAAAAAGUGAUCACAGCUAUGAAAAUAAUUAUGAAAUAAAAUUACGUUAGUGCAGACUUUUGCUCAACCCCCGUUUCUGUUUCAUAUUAUUCGUUCUGCUAUUUCGUGUGUCGAUUAAAACGAAUCUGGACUUUCUAAACGGAGUGUCUUUCAUCCAGAAAAUCGCAUUUACGUGACAACUGUAUGCAUCGUCAGCGGUGAAAGGUUACGCGGAUACGCGUUGGCACGCCAAGGUUUAAGCUUUCAGCUAACCACCCGCGAUUUCGCUUUUACGACUAGCAUCGUCGUCGAUAAGAGCCAUGAUAAAACAGCGGACCUCCCGUUGUACUCUCAUAUUUCGUUCCUCGGACUAUUUAGAUCCAAACCUUCUCGGUAUUCUUUUGGGAUUGGUCCCUCGACGUGCACGGACUGACGCGACGAGUUCAAACUCUUACGCGCGUCCACUUUUCUUCCAUUAUCUUCAUUUCCCUGACGCUGGUCCCUCCCUUCCGCGGUUGCCAAGAUACUCGCGUCUCUGGGGUGUUUUUUAUUACCUUUUAAGCGCGUCGUUCUCCUUUCCACCGACGCUCAUAAGGGGAUGGUCUCAUUGGCGAGCUGUACGAGGAAAAGGAAAGGUGUUCUUUGGGAAUUUCUUGCGAGGGAGGCACGCACGUGAAUAAUUUCAGAUUUCUGUGUGUUAUUGUGGAGCACAUUUCCUGUAUGAACAUAUUACGGAUCUUGAAACGUGUAUCCAAUCAUGAGUUAUGGAUUAAACAACA